rnacentral:rRNA from 1 species
UACGAUAGGGUGCAAGCGUUGUCCGGAAUUAUUGGGCGUAAAGAGCUCGUAGGUCGUUUGUUACGUCGGAUGUGAAAACCUGAGGCUCAACCUCAGGCCUGCAUUCGAUACGGGCAAACUAGAGUUUGGGUAGGGGAGACUGGAAUUCCGUGGUGUAGCGGUGGAAUGCGCAGAUAUCAGGAGGAACACCAAUGGCGAAGGCAGGUCUCUGGGCCAAUACUGACACUGAGGAGCGAAAGUCUGGGGAGCGAACAGG